GGGAGCCUUUUGGCAAUUAGGCUCCCACUGUCUCUUUAAGAGCGCGCCCGAGACUCGCGGCGCGCUCUUAGUUUCAGGCGGGACACGUGACCGCCUCACGCGGUCACUGCCCGCCUUCCAUCUGAAGCAGUUGGAUGAGCCGCGCGCGGCUCGUGCAGCCGCAGGACCGCGCGCGGCUUGAAGAGAGGACCGCGACCGGCCCCCGGUUAAGGUAAGUAACGC